GGGGAGCUUACAUGCAAGUCGAGGGGCAUCGGGAGGGAAGCUUGCUUUCCUUGCCGGCGACCGGCGCACGGGUGAGCAAUACGUAUGCAACCUGCCCUCUUCAGGGGGACAACCUUCCCAAAGGGAGGCUAAUCCCGCGUAUAUCGGUUUCGGGCAUCCGUUAUCGAGGAAAGAUUCAUCGGAAGAGGAUGGGCAUGCGGCGCAUUAGCUAGACGGCGGGGUAACGGCCCACCGUGGCGACGAUGCGUAGGGGUUCUGAGAGGAAGGUCCCCCACACUGGUACUGAGACACGGACCAGACUCCUACGGGAGGCAGCAGUGAGGAAUAUUGGUCAAUGGGAGAGAUCCUGAACCAGCCAAGCCGCGUGAGGGAAGACGGCCCUAUGGGUUGUAAACCUCUUUUGUCGGAGAACAAAACCCGGGACGAGUCCCGGACCGCGUGUAUCCGAAGAAAAAGCAUCGGCUAACUCCGUGCCAGCAGCCGCGGUAAUACGGAGGAUGCGAGCGUUAUCCGGAUUUAUUGGGUUUAAAGGGUGCGUAGGCGGUCCGUUAAGUCAGCGGUAAAAUUGCGGGGCUCAACCCCGUCGAGCCGUUGAAACUGGCAGACUUGAGUUGGCGAGAAGUACGCGGAAUGCGCGGUGUAGCGGUGAAAUGCAUAGAUAUCGCGCAGAACUCCGAUUGCGAAGGCAGCGUACCGGCGCCAGACUGACGCUGAGGCACGAAAGCGUGGGGAUCGAACAGGAUUAGAUAC
rnacentral:rRNA from 1 species